rnacentral:rRNA from 1 species
AGUGAACGCUGGCGGUAGGCCUAACACAUGCAAGUCGAACGGCAGCACAGUAAGAGCUUGCUCUUACGGGUGGCGAGUGGCGGACGGGUGAGGAAUACAUCGGAAUCUACUUUUUCGUGGGGGAUAACGUAGGGAAACUUACGCUAAUACCGCAUACGACCUACGGGUGAAAGCAGGGGAUCUUCGGACCUUGCGCGAUUGAAUGAGCCGAUGUCGGAUUAGCUAGUUGGCGGGGUAAAGGCCCACCAAGGCGACGAUCCGUAGCUGGUCUGAGAGGAUGAUAAGCCACACUGGAAAUGAGACACGGUCCAGACUACUACGGGAGGCAGCAGUGGGGAAUAUUGGACAAUGGGCGCAAGCCUGAUCCAGACAUACCGCGUGGGUGAAGAAGGCCUUCGGGUUGGAAAGACCUUUUGUUGGGAAAGAAAAGCAGCAGGUUAAUACCCCGCUGUUCUGACGGUACACAAAGAAUAAGCACCGGCUAACUUCGUG